rnacentral:miRNA from 1 species
GGCAUUAAUCAUUGGCUGCAAAUA